UACGAGGGGGGCAAGCGUUGUUCGGAAUUAUUGGGCGUAAAGGGUGCGUAGGCGGUUGUUUAAGUUUGGUGUGAAAUCUCCCGGCUCAACUGGGAGGGUGCGCCGAAUACUGAAUGACUCGAGUGCGGGAGAGGAGAGUGGAAUUCCUGGUGUAGCGGUGAAAUGCGUAGAUAUCAGGAGGAACACCGGUGGUGUAGACGGCUCUCUGGACCGUAACUGACGCUGAGGCACGAAAGCGUGGGUAGCAAACAGG
rnacentral:rRNA from 1 species